rnacentral:lncRNA from 1 species
GAUGAUGUCGGGAAUUCCAAAGGGUUCGCCUCGGGUUUAUGAAAAAUUCGGGGCGGGUCCUUUCAAAUAAAAUAAUAAUUGGUAUAAUCAAUUUAGCCACCUCUAACAUCAUGAUUGAUUGUUAGUAGAGACACACCAGAUUGUCUUAAUUUUGAUAUUAGACCACUCUGUUAUUGUAAUGGCCCUUUUGUGGCUAGUUUGUAUUAGCCUUUUGUGUCUAGUGACUUUUUUGACUGAAUUAUGAAUGCAAUCAUAGAAUUUCGUAAAAAAAAAAAAAAUCAUGAUUGAUCUUGCUUUGGUACCACGUUUAUAGAGAACAACAACAUCCUUUUAUUUAUUGAUCAAGCAUAUCAUAGCAUGCGCAAGAUUUUAUCACACAACAAAAUAUAAAAUAAAAUAUUGGUGCAACCAC